GACGUAGGAUGCAAGCGUUGUCCGGAUUUAUUGGGCGUAAAGAGCUCGUAGGCGGCUUAGUAAGUCGGGUGUGAAACCUCCAGGCUCAACCUGGAGACGCCACCCGAUACUGCUGUGGCUAGAGUCCGGUAGGGGAGCGUGGAAUUCCUGGUGUAGCGGUGAAAUGCGCAGAUAUCAGGAGGAACACCAAUGGCGAAGGCAGCACUCUGGGACGUGACUGACGCUGAGACGCGAAAGCGUGGGGAGCAAACAGG
rnacentral:rRNA from 1 species